GUUUUUAGGUAUUUCUGCUCAUGAAAUUUAAAUGGCCGCAGUACUUUGACUGUGCUAAGGUAGCAUAAUCAAUUGUCUCUUAAUUGGAGACUAGAAUGAAUGAAUUUAUGGUUAAAUUCUUUAUUCAUAUAUUUUAUUAAAAUUUAUUUAUUAGGUGAAAAUACCUAAAAUAAUUUAUUAGACGAGAAGACCCCAGGAAUUUAAUUUUUUUUAUUGGGGCGAUAUUUAAACAAUAUACUAAACUUUAGAUUUUUAAUAAAACGAAAGAUUUUAAUUAAAAAUAAAUUACCCUGGGGAUAACAGCAUAAUUUUUUAUAAAGAUUGUGACCUCGAUGUUGGAUUAGAAAAAAAUUUUACUUAAAGAGUAAUUUUUUAUGUUCUGUUCGAACAAUAAUAAAUUUUCUACGUGAUCUGGUCCCAACC
rnacentral:rRNA from 1 species